rnacentral:rRNA from 1 species
UACGAAGGGUGCAAGCGUUACUCGGAAUUACUGGGCGUAAAGCGUGCGUAGGUGGUGAGUUAAGUCUGUCGUGAAAGCCCCGGGCUCAACCUGGGAAUGGCGAUGGAUACUGGCUCGCUAGAGUGCGGUAGAGGAGGGUGGAAUUCCCGGUGUAGCAGUGAAAUGCGUAGAGAUCGGGAGGAACAUCAGUUGCGAAGGCGGCUCUCUGGACCAGCACUGACACUGAGGCACGAAAGCGUGGGGAGCAAACAGG